AACGAACGCUGGCGGCAGGCCUCAUACAUGCAAGUCGAGCGAUUAAGACUCCUUCGGGAGUGUAUAAAGCGGCGAACGGGUGAGUAACAGGUGGAUGAUCUACCUUCCGGUGGGGGAUAACGGCUGGAAACGGCCGCUAAUACCGCAUUCGGUUAAUACGCUGUGGCGUAUUAAAGAAAGGCGCCUCAAAGCGCCGCCGGGAGAUGAGUCCGCCCCCCAUUAGCUAGUUGGUGAGAUAACAGCUCACCAAGGCAACGAUGGGUAGCCGAACUGAGAGGUUGAUCGGCCACACUGGAACUGAGACACGGUCCAGACACCUACGGGUGGCAGCAGUAGGGAAUAUUGGGCAAUGGGCGAAAGCCUGACCCAGCCAUGCCGCGUGAGUGAGGAAGGUUUUCGGACUGUAAAGCUCUGUCGAGCGGGAAGAAGUGUACCAUGGCUAAUAUCCAUGAUAUUGACGUACGCUAGAGGAAGCACGGCUAACUCCGUGCCAGCACG
rnacentral:rRNA from 1 species